UAAUCUCGAAAUUUCCUUUUUUUUUUGACGCAGGAUGAAACCGACGUAUGCAUCAAUGUCUGUUAUGUGUACCUGGGAGGAAUUACAGGGAUCGCCGGGGGGACCGUUCCGGGCAAAUUCGCUCACGCGGGGGAGGUGGCUUCUUCUCCGUCCUCCCUCCACCGCCAUGUAAGUAAUUCCGUCCCCUCUUCCCCCUCCUCGGCGCUUAGGCCGACGGCUCUCUUCUGGCUCGGCUUCCUCCUCCGACGGUGGCCUGACCCCGUUAUGCUUUCCGAUGGGCUCCGAUUGAUCCCUCCCACCACGCCCUCCCUAGGUAAUCCAUCCAUCCAUCCAUCCAUCCAUCGAUCUCGACUUGCUCUCUCCCUCUCCCCCUUGGUUUGAACGGUGUCGGAACCCAUCUCGCCGUCGGCAGUCAGCCUGUUCGACGCCGACUGUUAAUCAAUUAGGGCUGCAGAACACGGACGAUCUUAUCCGCCUGGAUGAAUUUCAUUCUGUUCCCGUGGUCUUGUUUCGCUCCUGCUUUGUGCAUCUGCGAGGAAUCGGGUUCGUUGACCUCUUCUCUCCGCCUGUUGAAAUCCAGCCCCAAUUUCCGCGAAGGGAGGCGGAUUAUUCUGCUCCUCGGCCUUCAUCAAUCGCACUCCGGAUCUGAAUCCUCCCUCUCUCGUUCCGAGGGAUCAAUCAUUCAUCAGCUGUAGAUUUCCCCUCCCCCCCCCCCCCUCCGCAGAGGCUUGAGAUUCACGGCAAUUCACAUCGGAAAUCAUCUGCUCAAUCUAAGCCUCUCCGGCGGGUCGAGAGUAGACGUGCAUAACCUCAUCGAAUUCCUCGAGAGUUCAAAGCUCUCCUCAUUUUUCUGGCUUAUCUCGCGAUUUUUCCAUAAUAUUCAAAAUGGGAGAUGAUAAUUAUGGCCCGAGGAUGAUGCAACAUGCUAACGAUUCGGUGUCCGUGACAGUGUCGGGCUGUCUUCUGCAGAGGGAAUCUUGGUGGCCUUGACGCAAGCAGGAUCGCAGAUCCUUCCUCGCGGAGAGUCGCUGGCAUAGAGAGAGAGAGAGAGAGAGAGAGAGAGAGAGAGAGAGAGAGAGAGAGAGAGAGAGAGAGAGAGAGAGNNNN
rnacentral:lncRNA from 1 species